ensembl:snRNA U6 U6 spliceosomal RNA
UUGCUUCAGCAGUAAAUAUACUAAAAUUGGAAUGAUACAGAGAAGGUUAACAUGGCCCCUGUAUAA